UAUGGAUUAAUAAUAAACUGGAAGAAAGCCAAUUUGAUAACAAAAAGUAUUACAUUCUUAGGACAUGAGAUUUGUAAUGGUAAGCGAUACUCAUGCAACGUGAUGAAAAUAAUGAACUACACCCUAUUUAUUACAUGAGCCGUAAAAAUAGUCCACAGGAAGAAAAAUAUUCAAGUUAUGAAUUAGAAGCUAUGGCAGUUGUUGAAGGGUGGAACAACGGUGUGGAAGUUUAAUGAGACAAGUUGAAAGAAUACAUCACAUUAUUACAGCGAUACUUACCAAGAUGUGCAUAGAAUCACCUGCCCUGUGGUAUCGACAUGUUAGCUCGGUACAAAGAGCACUUAAUAGUACAUACCAAAGAAGUGUAAGUUCUACACCAUUUGAACUUUUAAUAGGGGUAAAAAUGAAAAAUAAACAAGAUUUAGAGAUUUACGAUUUAAUUAAGCAAGCAGAUAUAGAUAAUUUUACACAGCAAAGAGAAGAAUUGAGAAUACGAGCAAAGGAA